CACCGCCUGUCACACUAUAGGAGUUGGCCAUGUUUGAAGUCAUUACCCUUAACCGUAAGGAGGGGGAUGCCUAAGGCUAGGCUUGCGGCUGGAGUGAAGUCGUAACAAGGUAGCCGUACUGGAAGGUGCGGCUG
rnacentral:rRNA from 2 species